CAAAAAAGCUCAGGGACAAUGCCAAGGCCCUGAGUUCAAGCCCCAAGACAGGCACAAAAAAUUAUUGGAUUAAAUCAAAUCCUUGUUCAAGCUGAAAAACCUUUGGUUUGACUUAACUAGCACAUUUGCCCUAAUAUUUUUUGUCCGAGACCACCGGGAUUCAAGCUCGCUGACACUUGGCUUUGCUCAUUGGCUGGCACUCUACCACCUGAGCCACACCUCCAACCCCUAAUAUUUUUAGCUCAGAUGUAGAGAAAAGGGAAAGGUAUUAGGCUUGCUUGGAAUUGCCCACCCAUAAAUGCCCAUCAUGGCCUGUGUCUAGAAGAGCUCUCAAAGCAUUAUCUUGGAUUUUAAGAUUAAAGGGUAUAAUUUGGAAGUAAUGAACCCUUGAGAAAAUGAAACCAGGACACCCAGUCAAUCCUCUUUGUAAUACCAAGCUUUAUAGAAAUUUAUUCCUAUGUGGUCUUGAGCUUUUUUUUAAAUGUCUGAUUUUAUAAAAUGUUAUGCAUGCAAAUGCGGCACUGCGCUCGGCGUACUGUCACCUCAAAUCCAUUCCUUCCUCCACGUGUGUAAGAUGGUGAAAAGUAUCAAAAUGUGUGUUUCCAUGUCUCCUAAUGAACUGUAAAUUUUAAUCCUUACCAUUCAUUUUUAAAUGAGAUAUAUUUACUCUGGCUAGUAGUUAAAAUUUUAUUCUUUUUAUUAUAUUUCAUUGCUACCCUUUUCUACUGACUCCAAAGAUUACUUUGGGGGAAAUAUUUCCUACUUCUAUAUUGUUGUAUUUAUCUUAUUUCUGUAUUUAUCUGUAGCCACAGAAUGUUAGAAGUGAAAGGGACCAACUUCUCUCAUUGCAUCGAUGAGGAAACUUAAGGCCCAGAAAGGUCUAGUGGCUUUACCUAAAGUCAGUAAGUCUGGAGGCAGGACCCAGCCCCAAUUCCAGGUCUCCUGCUUCUGGGCUGUUUUGUCAUUUAAAGUAUUGCAGUUAUUUAAAAACACCACAGUUGGCUUCUAUUUUUGUGACAUGAAUUUCCCAGGUAUAACAACAAACACACACACACAUACACACACACACACACACACACACACACACACACAUAUGCACUUUACCAAAAUGUGCUAAGUUCUUUAGUUCAUGAAUCCAAAGAUAAACUUUAUUUCAGUUUAAAAACUUCAAUUUCCCUCCACAUUCAGUAUCCGUGCCCUACUUUGUACAAUGAAUCUUUUCCCUAAAAAUUGUAUAAAGAAUGGAUUUUUAUAGAUCAAACUUUAUUUUUAGUUGGGAAGCUUCCCAAUAUAAUAGAAUCUUCUGAGAGCUUCUUUUAAAAAAUCAAGAUGCCUACUAUCAUUGUCCUUUAAUGUCUCUAUUUAUUUUUAAAAUGAGAACUUUUGUAUUUGAUGUUUAUUUAAAGUAGGGCAAACCAAUAUUAACAUUUUUAGAAUCUACUAUAACCUUCCCUUCCUAAUCCUUUUUGAGAAGUUUUCAUAUGGUUAAGUACUCAUGAACUAUCUUCAAGAAAUUUCACUUGGAUUGAUAUUUUCUCAAUCCCUGGGCUCAAAUUUCCUCUCCAUCUUAGACAGUAACAAAGUUUCCUAAUUAAUGCGGAACACUACAUGGAAUCUCUCUUCCAGAACAUUCUUUGCCUAGUGUUCCUUAAUGUGACUCUCUUACCUACUCUUGGGGCUACUUCCAUAGUUCAUGUGUACUUCGCUAUUCCAUGGACACAAACAAGGCAACUUGAGUGCUAUGCUAAUCAUAUGAGCCUUAUUUCUAGUUCUUUCUAUUCCCGUUUUUCCUGAACUUCCUCUACUUUCCCUUUUCAUUCAUGUUAUGAGGAUUCUCCCUAGAGAUUGGGAGGAUUUUCUCCGUCAUGUAUCCCAGGCAUUGACACAGUUUUCUGCAAAGGGCCAGAGUCAUUUUUUAUAUUUUUUGAAGCACAUGAAGUCCCUAAAGCAUAGUUUUAUUUGUUGCUAGUGUUAUUAUAUAACCCCAGGAAAACAUGAAAGCCCAUUCUUAGCCCGUAGGCCAGGCAAAGCUUCAGGCUUAAUUUGGCCCACUUGUCAGGGUUUGCUGACCCCUUAAUCCAGACUAUUUGGGGACAGGCAUUUCUGCAACCUGCCCCAUGUAAUGAGUGGCUUGGGCAC